UACGAAGGGGGGCUAGCGUUGCUCGGAAUCACUGGGCGUAAGGCGCACGUAGGCGGAUCUUUAAGUCAGGGGUGAAAUCCCAAGGCUCAACCUUGGAACUGCCUUUGAUACUGGGGAUCUCGAGUCCGGAAGAGGUUGGUGGAACUGCGAGUGUAGAGGUGAAAUUCGUAGAUAUUCGCAAGAACACCAGUGGCGAAGGCGGCCAACUGGUCCGGUACUGACGCUGAGGUGCGAAAGCGUGGGGAGCAAACAGG
rnacentral:rRNA from 1 species